UACGUAGGGGGCAAGCGUUGUCCGGAAUCACUGGGCGUAAAGCGCGCGCAGGCGGCGAUCUACGUCCGGGGUGAAAGCUCAGAGCUCAACUCUGGGACUGCCUUGGAUACGGGAUCGCUUGAGGAUCGGAGAGGCAAGGGGAAUUCCACGUGUAGCGGUGAAAUGCGUAGAGAUGUGGAGGAACACCUGUGGCGAAGGCGGCAUCCUGGACCGGUAUUGACGCUGAGGCGCGAAAGCUAGGGGAGCAAACGGG
rnacentral:rRNA from 1 species